CUACGGGAGGCAGCAGUGGGGAAUAUUGCGCAAUGGGGGAAACCCUGACGCAGCGACGCCGCGUGAGCGAAGAAGGCCUUCGGGUUGUAAAGCUCUGUUUUAAGGGACGAACGUUCAUGGCAGUAACUGGCUAUGAAAUGACGGUACCUUAAGAGGAAGCCCCGGCUAACUACGUGCCAGCAGCCGCGGUAAUA
rnacentral:rRNA from 1 species